UGACAAGAAACAAGACACACUAUGGUCACACCCUUCAGGAUGGAAGCCUGGCCCAAGGGGACAGAUAUGCAAAGAGCAGAGAGCACGUCACAAAGGAACUGCAGAGCCCACACUCAUCUCUCUUCUUUCCACAUUUGCUGUGUAGCGCCUGCAGCCUCUGUUUCCCACGGACACACUGCACAUUGCGCUGGCAACCCAUUUCAUCAGGCACCCGCUGCGCACUCCAGAGGAAGGCUAGUAACCUUAAGAGGGACCUGGUUCCUUGCUCCAGCUCUGCCUCCAACAUGAGGUGAACCCUUUCGAGGUCUGUUUUUAAAUUUUAAAAAUGAAGGACUGGGGAGUUCCUGUCGUGGCUCAGUGGUUAACGAACCCAGCUAGCGUCCAUGAGGAUGUGGGUUCAAUCCCUGGCCUCGCUCAGUGGGUUAAGGAUCCGGCAUGACCACAAGCUGCCGUAUAGGUUGCAGACGAGGCUCGGAUCCCACGUUGCCAUGGCUAUGGUGUUGCUAGCCGGGCAGUGAGGUGGGUGGAUUUUGAUGAAUGGAUGCAGCAAGGAGGCUAGAGUGGAGCAUGCUGGGAAAUACUGGCGUAGAGGGGCCCUGGGCAAGAGUGAGUCCCAAAGAGCAGGCAGCAUCUGAGUCCAGGGCUCUGGGCCCUCUGUGAGCACAUGGCACCCCGCUGCACGUGGGACUCUGGGAAGUCAGAGCAGGAGAAGUCGAGGGGAUAAUCAGGUCUGGGGACCCCAUGGCCGGGCUGUCUGUCUCCCUGAGGGCUGGCUGAGAUGGAGUCCCUGUAUUGAUCUGGUCCUGCCGGGUCUGAGAAGCCUCUCGGAAGAGGAUGAAAGCCCGUGGGGCGCCAGCUGGAAGGCCAAGGCUCCGUUCCUCGUUUGCCAGGAGAGACCCAGGCCAGCAGGCCAAGAGAGCUGUGUCUGCUCCAGGAGCUGGAGGCCUGCCAGUCCUGGCAGCUACCCUGACUCCAUUUCCUCUGCUCUGCAGGCCCCAGACCAAGUCCUUCCCCAUUCACCUCCGCUCCCCUCUUCCCGGGAAGGGAGUGCUCGGCAAGUGGCCGCAGGACCAGCUGCCCACAUGGGACGGGCUGGGCACGGUCAUUGGCGAUCCGGGGGUUUUGAAAUAAAGGCGAACACGUUCACAUCCAAGGCCUGUGCUUAAAUCAGAAGCCAGCUGUCGGCCAAGAACGCUCCCCACUUCUGGCCGGAACGUGAUGGGGACGCUUGGCUGGAGAACUGGAAUUCAUGCCUCAGUCCCUCAACCCCAGCGCAGGGCCUUUCCCAUCACCGUCCAGCUGCCUGCUGGCGCCCCAGAAGGAGGAAGAAUGAAACCUCAUCAGAGGUGAUGGAGCCCGUCACAAGCAAGCCCCGAUUUCUUUCCCCUGUCACCGUCACCCUUGUCUGCUCCUAUUCUGAGCUGCCGGGAACUGCUCCAUCCCUCACGCCUCUGCCCUGCUGAUCUCUCUACCUGGAUGCUGUGCUGCUGUACGGGCUCAUUCUAAAUGACCCCUCCUUGGCGAAGAGACAGCUAAC